UGCGGCAGGCCUAAACAUGCAAGUCGAGGGGUAACAGGGAAAAGCUUGCUUUUCCGCUGACGACCGGCGCACGGGUGCGUAACGCGUAUGCAACCUACCUUUUACAGGAGUAUAGCCCAGAGAAAUUUGGAUUAAUCCUCCAUAAUAUCUUAAUCAUGCAUAUGAUAAAGAUUAAAGCUUCGGUGGUAAAAGAUGGCCAUGCGUUUUAUUAGCUAGUAGGUGAGGUAACGGCUCACCUAGGCCACGAUAAAUAGGGGCCCUGAGAGGGGGAUCCCCCACACUGGUACCGAGACACGGACCAGACUCCUACGGGAGGCAGCAGUGAGGAAUAUUGGACAAUGGACGAAAGUCUGAUCCAGCCAUGCCGCGUGCAGGAUGACGGCCCUAUGGGUUGUAAACUGCUUUUAUACAGGAAGAAACACUCCCACGUGUGGGGGCUUGACGGUACUGUUGUACGAAUAAGGAUCGGCUAACUCCGUGCGAGCCAGCCGCGGUAAUACGGAGGAUCCAAGCGUUAUCCGGAAUUAUUGGGUUUAAAGGGUCCGCAGGCGGUCUAUUAAGUCAGAGGUGAAAUCUUGCAGCUCAACUGUAAAAUUGCCUUUGAUACUGGUAGACUUGAGUCAUUGUGAAGUGGCUAGAAUGUGUAGUGUAGCGGUGAAAUGCAUAGAUAUUACACAGAUACCAAUUGCGAAGGCAGAUCACUAACAAUGUACUGACGCUCAUGGACGAAGCGUGGGGAGGCGAACAGAUUAGAUACCUGUAGUCCACGCCGUAACGAUGAUACUACUGUCGUCCGCUGCGAUGAUGUAGCGAAAGUGAUAGUAUCCACCUGGGGAGUACGCUCGC
rnacentral:rRNA from 1 species